CGUUUCGCGCGGAACUUGGACUCCCGGAAUAGUUCCGUCGCGCUGUAAAAGUUUUUCGCCGCACGCCGAAAUCGGAACGCGGCUGGUGACGCGUAGACAAACCGUGGUGUUUGUCGCUAUCUUCUGUAACCGUUCACAGCGAGACCUCUUUGCGAUCAGAAAUACGUUUCUCAAUUUUUGAUGGAAGUGGACACGGAGAACGUCAGGAUGGGCGAGACGGACGCGUUGAUGAGGACUGAUGAUGGCAUCAUCAAUAGCAACGAUAACAAUACUGAGGCGCCCACCGUCGAGGAAUCGUACGAGAUCACCACUACCAGACGCAAAACUAUCCGCACCAGCUAUAAGAUCCAGGAGACUUCCUCAUCAACCAAAACAACUACCAUGACGACAGCAGCCAAGCUGUAUGGCAAGGAUUUGAGCGAAUAUGAUGACAUUGAUGUGGAUCAAUUAUUGGCAGAGCUCACGCCAGAAGAACUAAAUAUAUUGGCCAAGGAAGUGGAUCCUGAUGACAGCUUUAUGCCUCCUUCGCAACGUUGCAGUUACGAAUGUAACAAGAGUCCUACAGGGCCACUGAAUCGAAAGAAACUCAUUGAACAUAUCAACAAGCAAGCUCUAGAGACACCUGAUAUUCCAGAAUUGAAACCAUAUGUACCUGGUGUAAUUAGAGGAAAAAAAUGGGUACCACCACCACAAGAGAACAUAAAAGAAAAGGAAGCAGACGAGCAAAUCGCGAUAGAUCUCGGGGAGGAAUAUGAACAAGCACUUUCGACUGCCACCCAAGAAGAAAUUAUUGAUCUUGCUGCUAUCCUUGGAUUCCAUUCUAUGAUGAAUCAGGAUCAAUAUCAUGCAUCUCUACUGAAUUCUGGACAACCAGUCGGACUCGGCUGGGAUGGAGUGACGAAAGCUAGUCAACCGAAAGUUUAUCCGAUGGAGCCGCCCAACGACACGGAUGUCGAUGCUACUAUUAAACAAGUGCGAGAUGAUGACUCUACUCUGACUGACUUAAACUGGAACAAUAUUAAAAAUAUUUCGGACGAAAAAUUCAUACAGUUGUUUGAAGGAUUGGAACUGAACACACAUCUUGAAUCGCUAAGUUUAACUAACGUUGGACUCAACGACAAGACCGCACAACGGCUGGCUGAUGCUUUAGAAAAGAAUUCGACACUCAAAGUACUCAACGUGGAGACGAAUUUCAUAAGCCCACCUGUGAUAGUAAGGCUGAUCAGGUCUCUCCUUAAGACAAAAUCCAUUGAAGAAUUUCGAUGUUCGAAUCAGAGGUCGCAAGUAUUGGGUAACAAGAUCGAGAUGGAAAUCACGCAAUUGGUAGAACAAAAUCCAACAUUGCUGCGACUUGGGUUGCAUCUGGAGUUCAACGAUGCUAGACAUCGCGUGGCUGCGCAUUUGCAACGCAACAUUGACAGGAUCUUUCGUGUGGAAGCCCAGGAACGAGCUAAGUUUGUAGUGAUCGCUGCUGGCCCUUCAAACUUCACCGUUCAUCCCGCAGAUGACUUAAAAAAUAGAGCGUAGCGCUGUUGCAGCGCAUACGGCAGUCCCGGCUCGGGGUGGCGACAUCUUAACGCGAAGUGGCGUUCGCCUAGAUCGCCUGCGUCGCAUGGGAAGAAUUUCCCGCAACUACACCAUCGGCUGGGCCAUGCAUUGAUGAUGAUCGCCACGAUGGUGGCAACGACGACGAUGACGAAGACGAUGAUAUGCCGAUAAUCGCGCGCGAGUUUCUCGAAGCGCCGUAACACGGUCUGUACACAUAUGGUAUUAUACCAAAGCGCAAUAUCGAAUUUUUAAAUUUUUUAAAUUUUUUGAGAAUUUUCUUAUAUAAUUUGGAUCUUGCGUAUCUUGAAAUUGUUACGAUUUAUGUCGUUUGAUGCUUGAUCGCGGAGGAAAAAUCAGAAGCUUUGCAUGCGAUAAAAUACAUACGUGAUAAUCUCUCGUCUUUGUGGCUUUAAAAAGAAAUACACAUAUAUACAUUUAUAUAAAUAUAAAUAUAUAUAUAUAUAUAUAUUCCUGCACCAGAGCUAUAUCGCGCGAAAAAUACUUUUAAAGACGAUGUAACAAAUUUAAACCGUCGUAUGAAUGUGACAUGUGAUACACACUGUAUCGAUUCUGUUAAUUUAUAUAUAUGAUACGACGAAUAUAUUGUUCUCUAACUGUUAGAACAUCGGAGAUAAUGAUAUUCGCGGAUGAUGCGAAAGGAGCCGGGAUAACUUUUUUAAUGUAAUGCAUACCAAGAUGUCGUUCAUCGCUUUAACGUGGCUAAUUGGAUUAUUUAAAUAUUUAUACACGAAAGAGAAGUUCUCUUUUAAUUAAUUCGACCAAACUUUUUCCCGAGCGCAUCGCUGAACGAUCGGGUGCAAAUUAUAUUCUGUGUUCCUCUCUGUUUUUUUUUUUUUUUUUCUGUCAGGAGAAUGUCUUAUUACUUCACGUUAUAUCUUUUUGCUCGCUUACUGCCUGGUUAUUGUAGAAUGUUUCAUCUUUUAUGCUUUAGAAUAAACGAAUAGCUAAAUCUAAUUGAUUUUGUUACGUCAGUAUAUGACCGAAAUGUAUCUAUAUAUCGAUAAAUUUAUAAAUAUAAAAAGAUUCGGAUUUUUCUCUUUGAAAAAUUAAAAUGAUUAAAUCGAUAAUUUUGAUUAUAAUCUUUAAUGUAGAAUAAUUAUUUUUCUAAUUAUUUCAUUUAAAUGGCAAUUGUUAACUGUAUUUUAAUUAACUUCGUGCAGCAUAAUAUGUAAACGUCAUGGCAAUGCAUUAAAAUGGAUUAAUUAGUUGUGAAUACAUGUGCAAAUUUUUCAUUAAGAAUAAAUAUUAAACGCGAUACCACCGACCCGAUCGUUCCGCUCGGCAUAUAAUGUCACUAUAGUAUUCGCUAUAAGGUACUAACUCUCGUUGUUUAAAUUAAUGAUUAAUUUAGUAUUAUAUAUAUAUAUAUAUAUAUAUAUAUAUAUAUAUAUAUAUAAUACUAAAUUAAUCAUAUAUAUAUAUAUAUGUAAUCAAUCUGUACAUAUUGUCUUCAAUGUCGUUUCUAAUCGAUCGAUGUGACCUACGUGUUAUAACGAAAGAGGAAAUGGAUUAUUAGCGCGUGAGAGAGAGGAUGACAUAAUUGUCUCUGUGUGUAUGCGCGUGCGGAUGAGAGGGAGAAAAAGGGAUCGGGAGUGCGUGGGUGAAGAUAAUUACGCGGGAAAAGUCUUACUAAGAUAGAUCACGCGCCGAUCGAUAUACUGCAGCUUGUUAAAUCCAUGGAAAUACGCGGAUCAAAAAUACUUUUGCACUAUACUCGUCUCGAGUAUCCUUGCAUUUUUGGACGAACUAAGAGCCGUGCGUAAAAAAAUUUUAUGGUUUUUAAUAAAUGACUUGCAGAGUACUUUUUGAGAAGCGUAGUUGGAUCGUGUAGUCGACAAGGAGAGGUGAAAUCGAUAAUGAAAUAGUAUUGUAAUCAUAUUUGUCUCGCUCGCGGCCUUCCGAAUACAUUCUUGAUUGUUGUAAACAUAUUCGCAUAUCUAUUCACUCUAUCACACGGAACACGCAUCACAUUACGUACACAACAUACCGAAACUCACAUGCACGCCUAUGAUCAAAGUCUUGCUGCUAAGUCUUAUCUUGUAACACGAGGUUUCAAUAAACUGCUGAGAAAAAGA